GCCAGCAGCCAUGUCACCCUGCAACUCUCAACUGGCAACUCACUGAAGCUAAGCAGGUGUGAGCCUGGUCAGUACCUGGAUGGAGACCUCCUGGUAAAAACUAAGGUUGCUGCUGGAA
ensembl:rRNA 5S_rRNA 5S ribosomal RNA